UACGUAGGCAGCAAGCGUUGUUCGGAAUUACUGGGCGUAAAGAGUGUGUAGGCGGUGUUCUAAGUCUGGUGUGAAAUCUCCCGGCUCAACUGGGAGGGUGCGCUAGAAACUGGAAUGCUAGAGGAUGGGAGAGGUAAGCGGAAUUCCUGGUGUAGCGGUGAAAUGCGCAGAUAUCAGGAAGAACACCCGUGGCGAAGGCGGCUCUCUGGGACGGUACUGACGCUGAGACGCGAAAGCGUGGGGAGCGAACAGG
rnacentral:rRNA from 1 species